CUAACGGCUGAACCAGCAACUUGGAAGAACGUAUAGUGAAAGCUAGUUGUACUAAUAAUGUAUUGGUACAAUAUCGACUUAGUCGAAUAAAGUUCUGAGUAGAGUUAUGAUAAUGACAUUAUCUACUCAUAUGUCUUGACCAAAAUACGUGCCAGCAGUCGCGGUAAGACGUAAAAGACUAGUGUUAUUCAUCUUUAUUAGGUUUAAAGGGUACCUAGACGGUAAGUAAAGCCAUAACUGGAACUAAUUUACUAGAGUUACUUACGAAGGAGCACUAAAGUACUAGUGGUGUAGAGAUAAAAUUCUAUAAUACCUUUUUUCAAAAAGAAAAGUAAUGGCACAAAUAUAGGCGAAAGCAUCUCCUUAUGUGAUAACUGACGUUGAGGGACGAAGGCUUUAAGUAGCGAACAGGAUUAGAUACCCUGGUAGUUGAAGCAGAUAAUGAUGAGUGUCAUAGGUUGGGCCGUGGCUCAUUCUAUAAAUGAAAAUGUAAGCACUCCACCUCAAGAGUAAUUUGGCAACAUAGGAACUGAAAUCAUUAGACCGUUUCUGAAACCAGUAGUGAAGUAUGUUAUUUAAUUUGAUAAUACGCAAAAAACCUUACCACAAUUUGAAUGUUUAUAAUAGAUAUAAACACAAGUGUUGCACGGCUGUCUUCAGUUAAUGUCGUGAGAUUAUGGUUAGUUCCAUUAAAUUAACGUAAACCCUUGCUUUAUUUAUAUAUAAAGUAGUUCUCCGCUAUAUAGGAUAAGAUAACA
rnacentral:rRNA from 1 species